UAGAAGGAGAAGUCAAAGAUGAAUAGAAGAAUCAUAUUUGGUAGCCAAGGAUGACUUGCCUGUUUCUUUGAGUAAAAUGGGUUAGUGUCAUGUUUGACAAGUGACUAUAAGUUAUAUCAAGCAAUGACCAUUUUACUCAUCAAAAGACAUCAGGCAGUCUCCUUGGCUAUCCUUAUAUGUUCUUCUCUCUCAUCUCAGACGUUUACCUUCAU